rnacentral:rRNA from 1 species
CAGCCGCCGCGGUAAUACGAAGGGUGCAAGCGUUAAUCGGAAUUACUGGGCGUAAAGCGUGCGUAGGCGGUUUGUUAAGUCAGAUGUGAAAUCCCCGAGCUUAACUUGGGAACUGCAUUUGAAACUGGCAAGCUAGAGUCUUGUAGAGGGGGGUAGAAUUCCAGGUGUAGCGGUGAAAUGCGUAGAGAUCUGGAGGAAUACCGGUGGCGAAGGCGGCCCCCUGGACAAAGACUGACGCUCAGGUGCGAAAGCGUGGGGAGCAAACAGGAUUAGAUACCCGCGUAGUCCCUGUCUCUUAUAC